AAACUAAAGAAGCAAAUGAAAGGAAAUAGAAACAGAAUGAAACGAAACAGAGAGCAGGGGAGAAAAAGAAAGAAAGAAGGGGAGAAAAGGAAAAAUUUAAGGUUUGAAGCUUUAAGUUUUAAUAGUCAAUGUGGUUUCGGAAAUCUCGGCUAAGAAAUGACAAGACAAAGUCAACGGGAGUUAGCUCGAAAAUUACGGUUAAGUAAAGAUAGUACGUUGAAUCAGCAUCCCAAGACGAUCCCGAAUUCAUUAAGGUAAAGUAUGUUGAGUAUUGAUAAUGGCAUGUACCCAGGAUGUUUAAUGAGAGUCAUUUAGGUUGUAAAAGUAUUGAUGAAAUGAGUAAAUUAUGGUUGGCAACGGUAUGUAGUAUGAAUUUUGAAAUUUACUAAAAAUUCGUAGUGAUUCUAAA